GAUGAGUAAUUUUAUGGAAUAUUACAGCAAGCGAGAACGCGCAAAUGGAAAUACAGAGGAAAUCAGGAUUAUUACGGGUGGAAUGGAAAUAGAAUGAGUUCAGAAAUUGUACGGAUUUCAUUCGGGAAAUCUGUCGCAACGAAGACAAGAUUUGAUUAGUGCAGUGAACUGGAAAUUGAGAGUAGCAUUAUUAAUCCAUGUGUGAUUAUCGAGAAUACCCGGAAUUACAGGCUCGAAAGUUGUGUUGAUAGUUCCCUUCGCGAUUUGUUCGACAAGUUUAAUCUCCAAGAUAACUACAUGCGAUGUUGGACAGAGGAUGUCACAGAGAGCAGGCGAGUGGGGGAGUAAUUACUCAAGGUCUCAAACUAAAUGCUCCUCAGUGGUCCGAGGCCCCAAUAACAAAAAUCCUGCCCCAUUGACCAGUCCCUCUCCUCUUUGAACCGUCGACAGUAGUCGCAGAUCGAUACCACAAAAAUGACGGAAAAUCGGGGAAAUGUCAGCACCUGCUUUGCUGAAUUCUUAAUUUACAGGAGAUUCAAUGAAAUCUGCUGAUGUAUUUUUACGCUGAGUUUGAAAGUUCAAGCAGUCAUCGAAAUUAUGAAGGAUAUCCGAGCCUGAAGACCUCCGUGUCCUUCAGUUGUGGAAAAUAAAAUAAUAGCGAUGUAAAAAUAAAAAAUUGAUUUGAAUUCACCCUCAGCCUCUCAAAUUAUUGUACUAG